AAAUUGAAGAGUUUGAUCAUGGCUCAGAUUGAACGCUGGCGGCAGGCCUAACACAUGCAAGUCGAACGGUAACAGGAAGAAGCUUGCUUCUUUGCUGACGAGUGGCGGACGGGUGAGUAAUGUCUGGGAAACUGCCUGAUGGAGGGGGAUAACUACUGGAAACGGUAGCUAAUACCGCAUAACGUCGCAAGACCAAAGAGGGGGACCUUCGGGCCUCUUGCCAUCGGAUGUGCCCAGAUGGGAUUAGCUAGUAGGUGGGGUAACGGCUCACCUAGGCGACGAUCCCUAGCUGGUCUGAGAGGAUGACCAGCCACACUGGAACUGAGACACGGUCCAGACUCCUACGGGAGGCAGCAGUGGGGAAUAUUGCACAAUGGGCGAAAGCCUGAUGCAGCAACGCCGCGUGAGUGAUGAAGGCCUUCGGGUUGUAAAGCUCUGUCUUCAGGAGGAAGAUAAUGACGGUACCUGAGGAGGAAGCCCCGGCUAACUACGUGCCAGCAGCCGCGGUAAUACGUAGGGGGCAAGCGUUAUCCGGAUUUACUGGGCGUAAAGGGAGCGUAGGCGGUUUUUUAAGUCAGAUGUGAAAUACCCGGGCUCAACCUGGGAACUGCAUUUGAAACUGGCAAGCUUGAGUGCAGGAGAGGAGAGUGGAAUUCCUAGUGUAGCGGUGAAAUGCGUAGAGAUUAGGAGGAACACCAGUGGCGAAGGCGGCUCUCUGGACUGUAACUGACGCUGAGGCUCGAAAGCGUGGGGAGCAAACAGGAUUAGAUACCCUGGUAGUCCACGCCGUAAACGAUGUCGACUUGGAGGUUGUGCCCUUGAGGCGUGGCUUCCGGAGCUAACGCGUUAAGUCGACCGCCUGGGGAGUACGGCCGCAAGGUUAAAACUCAAAUGAAUUGACGGGGGCCCGCACAAGCGGUGGAGCAUGUGGUUUAAUUCGAUGCAACGCGAAGAACCUUACCUGGUCUUGACAUCCACGGAAGUUUUCAGAGAUGAGAAUGUGCCUUCGGGAACCGUGAGACAGGUGCUGCAUGGCUGUCGUCAGCUCGUGUUGUGAAAUGUUGGGUUAAGUCCCGCAACGAGCGCAACCCUUAUCCUUUGUUGCCAGCGGUCCGGCCGGGAACUCAAAGGAGACUGCCAGUGAUAAACUGGAGGAAGGUGGGGAUGACGUCAAGUCAUCAUGGCCCUUACGACCAGGGCUACACACGUGCUACAAUGGCGCAUACAAAGAGAAGCGACCUCGCGAGAGCAAGCGGACCUCAUAAAGUGCGUCGUAGUCCGGAUUGGAGUCUGCAACUCGACUCCAUGAAGUCGGAAUCGCUAGUAAUCGUGGAUCAGAAUGCCACGGUGAAUACGUUCCCGGGCCUUGUACACACCGCCCGUCACACCAUGGGAGUGGGUUGCAAAAGAAGUAGGUAGCUUAACCUUCGGGAGGGCGCUUACCACUUUGUGAUUCAUGACUGGGGUGAAGUCGUAACAAGGUAACCGUAGGGGAACCUGCGGUUGGAUCACCUCCUUA
rnacentral:rRNA from 1 species